CAUGGUGCAGUGGAGGUAGAUGUCCAUGACGACUGUACUAGGGCCAACUUGGCAUUGCAGUGCCUGUCCAGCUUGUUCGCUGUGCUGUGUUCUCGCAAAUAUAUUUCUAUUGUAUGUUUAUUCGUCGUGCAUUUUGAUUUACCAGGACAACCAGAUUCAUGUUUAUCUCGCAUCAUCUGUUUCCUUGCAGCCCAAUCAUGGUUCCGGUUUCUACAGCGCAGCGACUGGGAGAUACUCAUAAUGGACGCCAUCCUUGACGUCCGCACCGAAGAUGGGAAGCACCACACAAUGAGGGUGACGGUCGCAGACAACACGGCA
rnacentral:rRNA from 1 species